rnacentral:tRNA from 1 species
UGGACCAUGGUGUAAUUGGCAACACAACAGGUUUUGGUUCUGUCAUUCUGGGUUCGAGUCCCGGUGGUCCAA